ACAUCGGUGGUGAAACGGUAUCAUGCUUGCCUUCCAUCCUUGAGAUCAGCAAGCGGCACGGGUUCGACUCCCGUCCGAUGUA
rnacentral:tRNA from 2 species